GUGGGGAAUCUUGUGCAAUGGGCGAAAGCCUGACGCAGCCAUGCCGCGUGAAUGAUGAAGGUCUUAGGAUUGUAAAAUUCUUUCACCGGGGACGAUAAUGACGGUACCCGGAGAAGAAGCUCCGGCUAACUUCGUGCCAGCAGCCGCGGUAAUACGAAGGGGGCUAGCGUUGCUCGGAAUUACUGGGCGUAAAGGGCGCGUAGGCGGACAGCUUAGUCAGAGGUGAAAGCCCAGGGCUCAACCUUGGAAUUGCCUUUGAUACUGGCUGUCUUGAGUUUGGGAGAGGUGAGUGGAACUCCGAGUGUAGAGGUGAAAUUCGUAGAUAUUCGGAAGAACACCAGUGGCGAAGGCGACUCACUGGCCCAAUACUGACGCUGAGGCGCGAAAGCGUGGGGAGCAAACAGGAUUAGAUACCCUUGUAGUCC
rnacentral:rRNA from 1 species